rnacentral:rRNA from 1 species
GACGAACGCUGGCGGCGUGCUUAACACAUGCAAGUCGAACGAAGUGGCGAACGGGUGAGUAACGCGUAAUCAACCUGCCCUUCAGAGGGGGCCAACAGUUGGAAACGACUGCUAAUACCGCAUACUGAAGGAGGUGCUUGCGUCUGAUUAGCUAUUUGGAGGGGUAACGGCCCACCAAGGCGAUGAUCAGUAGGCGGUCUGAGAAGAUGAACGGCCACAUUGGGAAUGGGAAACGGGCCAGACUCCUACGGGAGGCAGCAGUGGGGAAUCGUCCGCAAUGGACGAAAGUCUGACGGAGCAACGCCGCGUGAGUGAUGACGGCCUUCGGGUUGUAAAGCUCUGUUAAUCGGGACGCGGUACCGGAAGAGAAAGCCACGGCUAACUACGUGCCAGCAGCCGCGGUAAUAC